rnacentral:rRNA from 1 species
GGAUGAGCGCUGGCGGCGUGCCUAAUACAUGCAAGUCGAGCGGUAACAGGUCUAGUUUACUAGAUGCUGACGAGCGGCGGACGGCUGAGUAACACGUAGGAACGUACCCCAAAGUGAGGGAUAACUGCUCGAAAGAGUAGCUAAUACCGCAUGUGAUCUAAGGAUUAAAGCUUUAUGCGCUUUGGGAACGGCCUGCGUUCGAUUAGCUAGUUGGUGAGGUAAUAGCNCACCAAGGCGAUGAUCGAUAGCUGGUCUGAGAGGAUGAUCAGCCAGACUGGGACUGAGACACGGCCCAGACUCCUACGGAGGCAGCAGUAGGGAAUUUUCCACAAUGGACGAAAGUCUGAUGGAGCAACGCCGCGUGCAGGAUGAAUGUCUUCGGAUUGUAAACUGUCUUUUGUUGGUGAAGAAUAUGACGGUAACCAACGAAUAAGGGUCUGCUAACUACGUGCCA